AACAGACACCGCUUUCUCUGGUUUUUCCACACCUUUGUGCUGGGCCAGCGUGAUAACAGUCUCCGUUUUCAGCUCCUGCAGUGUUGCCCGGAUGGAUGUCGACUUGCACCUAUUGAUCACUCCUGCCACUAUGUUCUUCCUGAAGGUAUAAUCCUUGUCCACCUUCAGUGGGGUCACCACAUACUGUUGAGCAGACUUGGAGUACUGGUGUUUAUGUUGCUCCUCACCUUCCUUUGUUUUAGCUGUCUUCCGGUCCACAUUACUGUUGUGAUCCAUAGCAGCAACCCGCAGACGUGCCUCCAAACUCUCCCUCAGAAACUUCUUCCUCUUUGUGGCGUACUUCGUGUACAGGGAGUGAAGACUCUCUAGCUGUCCUGUGUGAAUGCCCAGUGUGGUCUUCUCCAAUUUCUUCAGGAGCUGCUUGUCAAGCACUAUCUUCUGCAGGUGCUGAAAGGCAGCAGAGCUAGGGAGGAGCCAUGGACGCUGACUCUCUUCCUCAGGGGUGUAGGUACGGUGCUCACACCUGGUCAUUGUCUCACCAGAUACCCAAUGGUGCACAUUGGUAAUGUGAUGCAGGAUUGAGAUCCACUUCUCUUUCAACUUAGUCACACUUCCCUCACAUGUUGUGACACAAAACCAGAGGUGGUUUGUGAUCAUUCUGAUCCACUCAAACAACUCUUCGUUGUGGCACUGCAGCAGUCGUUUUUUUACAGACUUAACAAUGUGCCAGAGGUCAUAUUCAUGCUGUAUAGAUUUAUAUUCCUGACGCAUGACUUUCUGCACUGAUGGGUGGCAGUCGGUUGCCAAAACAGAUAUGGUCACACCAUAUUCUCCCAACUUGGAAAGGCACCUUUCCAUACCAUCCACCUCAAGCCAAUAACUGUUCUUCACCUCUGUGACUUGAACAGUUUCCUGUGCCACCACCAACUUCGACUUGAUGUCCAGGAGUGAGUAGGUUCCAUAUGAGGCGUUGUGACCUGGACUGUCAUAUCUGGAGUCUCCUGACACGAUGAGCCGCUCAUCACCUAAGGCACUCAGUACAGCCUCAUUGUGUACUGUCCAGGUAUUGUUGACCUCUGGGAUGACAUAGGCCUUCUAUAUGCUGAACCACUGUCUUUUUGAGAUGGUUUCCAGACCAAUGGUGUCGCACACCUCCAUGAAUGGACUGCACUCAUUUCCAGUGACAAAUACAGCAGCAGGUACAGAAACAUUGCAUUCCAUAAUUCCUCUAACUAAAGGCUGAGAAUGCCACAUAAAAUCAUGGCCAUCAAUGCAUUCUGUGUUGAUCCUAAGCCCAAAUCCACUUUUGGAGACUGCCGGUGGCCUCACCAAACAUUUGCCACAGCCUUCCCAAUGACACACGUGAAAGAGCUUCAACAAUUCUCCUGUCGACACAAUACUUUUUCGCUCUUGUGAGACAUUUGUUUCCUCAUCCUCAACAUCACUGAAACUUUGAUCCUCAUCACUGAUGCUUUCCUCUCUACCCAACUCAAACUCAUCUUCAUUGCAAUUAUCUUGACUCUCUUCCAUUAAACUUUCUACCUCAGACUCUUCACAGCCCUCACUGCUAAGUUCCAGAUCUUGCUGAGAUGACAGUGCCGUAGCUGGGGAGAAGCCUUCCACAGAAGGGGAUCGGUCUGGGUGCUGACACUGACUGUCGAGAGGAUGUGGACACUGCCUAUCUCCUGCUCUAUCUCCUUACAGAUGUCAGCUUCUGGGAAAUUGCUACUGGCCACCAGACGCAUGCAUGUCUGCCUAACCUGUAAACACAUUUACUGUUUUUAGGUACCCAACUGAUAUUGACAGCCUUAUCAUGGAAUACUUUGUACUCAGAUCCUGACUAUUGGUUUAAAGCAUAUAAAAGAAUCUUAUACUGAAA